UACGAAGGUCCCAAGCGUUGUUCGGAAUCACUGGGCGUAAAGGGAGCGUAGGCGGCGUGGUAAGUCAGAUGUGAAAUCCCGGGGCUCAACCCCGGAACUGCAUCCGAUACUGCCAUGCUUGAGUGUUGGAGGGGUGACUGGAAUUCUCGGUGUAGCAGUGAAAUGCGUGGAUAUCGAGAGGAACACUCGUGGCGAAGGCGAGUCACUGGACAACUACUGACGCUGAGGCUCGAAGGCCAGGGGAGCGAAAGGG
rnacentral:rRNA from 1 species